UUUUUAUUGAGUAUGAUUUCUUAAUCAUAGUAAAACUGAAUAUAUCAGAAAACAAAUUUUAAUGAGACAAAAUAAAAAUGAAUUAGCAAACUGCCAUAUAACAAUCGGAAAUUAAAAAAUCAGGAUUUUUUAUUUUGCUAUAAGAAAAUAAAAUAUAAUCGAUCCGACAAAUAAUUAACAAUGUUAUGCUUUCUUGUAAAUAAAAGUUUUUAAAAAGUUAGGUGAAGAUGAAAAGUAUUUAUAAUGAUUUUAUUUGAGCCGAUAAUGUCUAGGUACAGAAAUAUAUUGCACAAAGAGGGAAAAAAAUAAUUUUGGAAUCAUUAAAAUAGUGAUGCUUAAAAGACGAGAUGAGCUCUAGCGAAUCAGUGGAUGUCAAGUUUAUCUUUAGAAAGUUAAAUUACAUUCAAUACAUUGAGAAGGUAAAGUAAAUAUAAUCUCCAAAUCUUUUUACAAGUCUAAAAGUAACUUAUUUUAAGUUUUAUUAUGUCAGUUUUUAAAAUUAGGAGAAGGAAAACUCUAAAUCCAAACCUUGCGGCUGUACCCAAACAUAGGAAUUUUAAGAGGACACUGAUGAAAAAUCAGAAUCAGGUGACUCAUAGGUUGCUUGCGGUACACAGUACUGCAGCCUGGCAGCCACAGAUCCCAAUAUGUAUUGACUAUUGAUGUUCCAUUGAGUUGCAUGGAGAGGGAAGUAAAGCAGUGUGAACAAUAACAUUGCGACCAGAGCUUUCAUCUUAUUUCAAUGUAAUGAAUCAUAGUUAUUCCAAGACUGAAAUAGGAUAACUAUUUCACACUUGCAAAAACUAUAUACAGCAU